UAUCUGAUUUCCUUUAUGGUCAUCAUCAGAUGUAAAAUUUUCUAUGAUCAAAAAAAUUUGAACCUGAUCAUAUAAAAAUUUGAGUCUAAUCAUACAUGAUGAUCAGAUUCAAAUUCUUAUAUGAUCAGGUAUGAAACCGUAGUAGCGUAUGGAGCUUCAUAUAUAUGAUCAUAUAUAUUAACAUCUGAUCAUAUAUAAGUAUAAAAAGUUGUCUACACUACAGUUUUAAAUUCCUUAGAUUUUAUGAAAAUAAUUAAAGUUUCAACUCAGCGUGCAUAUGGGUCUCAUUAUUGUUAUUAUGAAUAAUAUUAAAUGCAACGCAUCAUAAAAUAAUAUUUUGUUGCAUAAAAGAUUUUCUUAUGACCUUAUAAAAAAACAUAUCAUCAAGGACAGCUCUCUAUUUGUUCACCAGUAUAUCAGACUACAAGACAUUGAUAUAUUUAUCUUCGAGUAAUCGAUUAUUGUUAAAAAAUAUAAUAAGAAACGGCGUACAAUAAAUUUCAAACAGACGGAUCUUGGUAUCAAAUAGAUAUUGUCCAAGUAAGAGCCGUAUAUAUUAAAUAAAUAAUGAAAAAAGUUGUUGAUAGUUUUCACACUUUAAAGAGCUCGUUUGACGACGACGACGUUCGAAGGAAAGCGAACUAACAAAUCACACAAAAUCGAAAGUUUUAAAUAAAUUCCGUCAGCAUUCCGAUUCUUAUCUGUUUUUUUAAAAAUAACAUACUGAAGAAUCUAAUUAAGAAGUAAUUAUUUCUUCCCGAAAACUAAUUAGCUGCGAUAAGAUGAUACGCACAGACUGAUAAUUUAUUUAAAUGAUAAGAAUUUAUUUAGUGGCUGAUAAAAAAAAUGAAAAAAAAAUUAAGGUUAUUGUCAAAGUAAGACAAUUGUACGUUAGACUAGACUAUUAUGUAUGUAGAUAACAGUCUGUACAAUAAAAAUUCAAAAUAAUAAAUUUAUUCUGCAUACACAAAGGCCCAUAUUGCACGUGCACCAGGUCACUAUUGGAAUCCAGCAGGCGUAUUAAUUUGCUUAUAACUGUACUCCAGCAUAUAUAACUUUGCAAGUUAUUGCUAUUGCUGAAGAAAAUUAAAGACAGACACAGACAUAAUAUAAAAUAUUACAAUUUUUUUAUAUCUAUAAUUUAAUGACAGUUUUAUUAUAUAUUUCAACAAAUUUAUUGUCUCUUAGAAUAUAUAUCGUUUCUCUUAAAAGAUAUUUAAAUUCCGCUUAUAAACAAACAAAAGGAAAUAAUUAAUUCCUAAAUGGUUGGACUUUCACCAUAUUUCCGCAGGGCUUUUCAUAAAAUUUAAUUUAAAUCGAAUAAAGUAUAAUAUAAUUGUAAUUCGAUGAUUAAUUCGAUCACUACUUUCGCAAUAAUAAUUUAAAUAACAAUGAAUCCUAUCAACUAAGGCCGUAAUGAAUAUUGUUGUUGAAGCCGGCAUUGUUUAGCUAUCAGAUGACUAUUUCUGCUGUGGGUCAAAGUUAACAUCGACGAGGUUGCAGGUUGGCAUGGACUCUCUUGGUCUUGAUCUUUCUGGGUCACAAGGCCAAUCGGGCUUGAUACAGCAACCAAGUUCCUUAAGUUGGAUCCAUGAUAUUAUCAUCGAGUAAGUGUGUCAACCGGGACACUGCUGCAGCCGGAGGUUUAAAGUUGAGUAGUUACAAACGUUUAAAAUCUUGGGAUAUGUUUUUUAAAUAAAAGAGUGUUGUUGUUAAGGUCCUCAACUCUUGUCCGUAGACGAAGCAAAGUCGACGUCCGGUGAAUUAUCUCCUCUAACAGGUCUCUGACAAGAUAACCGUUAAGGCUUUCUUUCGUUCUUAGCCAGCAGUUCCUUUCCUCUACAGCCGAAAGAAAUCCGGCUGAGUUAAUGAUCCAUAUCGUAUGAAAAUACUUUUUUGCUUACCCCAAUGAAAAGUUUUGGUUGUAAUUACUGUUUUCAUGAUAAUAUUCAAUAAAGGUCGAUAUACCUCCAACAUGCAGACAAUAAACCAAAGGGUAAACGUUUUAGAAAUUACUAUAUUGAUGAUAUCAAUCGACAAAUAGUUUUGUAAUAGAGAAAGGAGGAAAAGUUAUUCAAGAAGAUCUGGCCUGACAUUUUAAGAUGAACCUUUGCGGUUUGAUGACACAUUUAUAAACCUUUUUCAUUCCGCUAAAUAUAAAUAUUGCCCUAUCAAAAAAUCCAUAGAGGAUUAUGUGGAAAUUUAUAGACAUCCGUGUAGGAAACUAUGGAUUUACAUGAGGAUCCAUGGGGAUCAACAUAGGAAAGUAUGGAUUUAUAGAGGAAUCCAUGUAGGAAAGCAAUGGAUACUUGGAUUCCCAUUCAAAAAAUACAUAUAGGAACUUUAUGUAAAAAUUUAAUAUACAUAAGUAACCAUUAGGGUGGCCCAAAAAAACCGACUAUUUUUUUUUUUUCGAGUCUCUUGUAAAAAUUUGUUGGUUUAAGAUGUUUUAAGAAGCAUCUCCAAAAAUCAGCUCGAUACAAAAUUUCCAAGAGGUCGCUCACGAAUUUUGAAAAUAUCAAAAAUGAUCGAAAUUCGGAUUUUUCUGUUCUAAAUUUCUUCUUUCUCGUAGCAGCUAUAGUUUACUAUGAAAUCAUGACUACGCUGAAAAUUUCAACCCAAAAUUUGAAUAUUUAAACGGCGCUCAAGAAUUUUGAAUAUUAACUGAUAAUAUAUAACUAAUACUUUGAAUUAGUUUUUGUAUUUUUUUAUAACUCAAUUACUGUCAUUUCACUUAAAUAUAACUUUUGCAUAACUGAAAAUAUACCGGACAGUUUUAAACAAUAAAAUUGGGUAAGUUUUGAAUAAGCAAAAAAACCUAAAAAUUGAAUUAAAAAAUAAAAAAGUAUGUAAAUAACUUAUUAUUUAUAUUUCUCGGGUUGUAUUUUCAUUCAUUAUGAUACAAAUUGAUGGUGAAAAAAUUGAAAAAUUUUAUUAUUAAUAUUUAAGGGUCGCUCGAAAACGUCCAAGAGACAGUACUCGGAAACAUUCAAAAUUCUUGAGCGACGUUUAAAUAUUUUAGUUUUGGGCUGAAAUUUUCAGCGUAGUCAUCAUUUCAUAAAUAUAAACUAUAGCUACCACGAGAAAGAAGAAAUUUAGAACAAAAAAUCCGAAUUUCGAUCAUUUUUGAUAUUUUCAAAAUUCGUGAGCGACCUCGUGGAAAUUUUUUAUCGAGCUGAUUUUUGGAGAGGCUUCUUAAAACAUCUUAAACCAACAAAUUUUCAUAAGAGACUCAAAAAAAAAAAAAAUAGUCGGUUUUUUUGGGCCACCCUAGUAACCAUAGGAAUCUAAACUAGGUUUCCAUAUGGGUUUCGGCAUGGUUUGGAUUUCCAUGGGAAAUCAUUGUUGGAAUCCACAUACGAGUCUAAAAUCGAUUGUCAUUUCGAUUUUUACAUGGUAUGGAUUUCUAUGGGGGUCUAUAUAAAAAUCGGUACUGAAUUCUUAUAAGAAACCAUACAGAAACGGCAUUUGGGAUCUUCAUGAAAAUCUAAACUGGAUUCCCACGUGGAUUUUUUUGAUAGUCAGCUGCUGUUGUCUCAAACAAGAAUUUCAUUAAAAAACCUUAAGUUGAUGAUAUUAAUUUGCGGAUUAAAUACUCAAGUUUAAAUGGAUAGCAAGAAUGACUUAAUAUGAAGUGAUUAGUUGUUUGCAAGAUGUGCAACUAGACAAGUAGCGUUUUAAUUUAACACGAGUAUCACCAGCACAGAGCAAUUGGUAAAUGUUAAAACUACAAAGUGCUAAUGAGAUUUCAUAUAUAUUUAUAUAUUUAAAGAGAACGUGAGUACUUAAAUAAUUGUGAUUGACUGUAAUACAUGUGGCUAGCUGCCGCAGAGGUUUAAAACGACGAAAGCAUGUAUGAUAUAGAUGGAGUCACGUUCAUAAUAUACGUGCCUGAGUGUCAGUUGCAAAUACACUACACAUAGAUUACAAACUAUUAAUGGACUCAUCUUAAGUUUAUAACAUGUAACAUGUGUGUACUUAACUUCCUUUUCAGAUGCUUUCUCACGCAACACACACAAUAAUAGUAACCUCCAACCAAACGUGAUUCAUCAAGCAAUCAAGGUCUUAACAUUACAGUUACUCAAACAAACUUGGAAAUGCUAUUGACCAUUGAAAAAAUUGUUUUUUUUUUUUAAAUUAUAUAUAUUUUAAAUUAUAAUUCUUCUCUAUUCAUUAUUGUAAUACGACUGGAUUAAAAUCAAGCGUGAAUAUAAUUGACCGUGACUUGCGCGUAAUCCAAAAGCCAAUUAUAACACCUAGACAUUUAUGAUUAAAUAAUAAAUUUAUUAUUAUUAAAAUUGAACUAGAUACGUAGUACUGUAUUCUUCAAGUGUUAUCGAGGUUUACAAACCAAAAAAUGAGAUUUAAUUACUUAUAAAAUUAGAACGUGACAAGAUAAGAUGUGAUAAGAGAAAACUUUAUACAGAUAGAGUAUAGUACUUGUAUUAUAUUUGAAUACUUGUAUUGUGGAAGAAGAUGAGCUUUGUAGUUGACGGAAUAACAUAUGGGUUUAACGACCGCAUAUUCUACGGAGGAUUUAUUUCACCAUCAUGAGUAGUGUCAUAUUACGCUUCAUUUUAAUUUGAAUGACAAUCAUAUGAGCUAGUUUACGUUUUAAUAAGUUGAAUUUAUAUUCAGGGUAAAAGUUAAUUGUAAAAAAUUAAAAAAAAUGUUGGAAAAUCCAAAAUUGCACACCUCAGUCGCUCAUUUUAUUGUUAAUCAUUACUUUGAUUUUUUUGUUUAUGAAUUUUUUUAUUCAACUUUUAAAUUAUUAAUUUGAUUUUUUUAUUUCUUAAUUCCAGUUUAAUUUUUUUUUUUUUUUAUUUAAAUUUUUUCGAAAUAUCCCGCAUUUUUGUUGUAGAUGUUGCUCUUUCUUUUCAAUCCUACUGUUUUACGCUAGUGCUGUUGCCAGUAGUUGAUGGGGAGAAAAAAAGAAAAAAAGAAAUUUACUUUUGUAAUAAUAACAAUAGUAAAAAUAAAAAUGGCCGCUGAACUUUUCGUGAAUAAUCAGUCAUAUUAUUUUAUUUAAUUACAAUUAAACUAAAAGGAUUUAGACAGUAAUUUUCAAUAGGGUUCUUGUGAUCAAAAAUAUAAAGAUAAUAAAAAAAAAGUUAGGCCGAUUAAUUGUGUCUAUCGAGAGUUAUUUGGUUUACUAAGUUUCAUACAGGACAAUCGACAACUCGUGUCACUGGGAUUAAAAUAAUUUAUAUUUAAUUAAUGGAAUAAUUAAUCGACUUAAUAUUGGGUCGAAAUUAUUCUUUAAUAAAUUGUCUUCGUGUUGGUAUAAAAUUUCACCCAUUUUAGUGUAAUCGAAAAAGUCUAGAGAUAAUUUAAUGUGAGUGAAUGAGUCAAAAAAUUUAGAGCGAUCAUAAAACACACCAGCGCUUUCGCGCUUGAGGUGUGCAAAAUUAUAUUAUAAGAAACAUUCUACUAUUGAAUUACCAGUGAAAAAUUUAACUAUAGUAUUCUACCACUGAACUACCAAUGAAUUUAAUUAUAGUUUAGAUUUAAGAAUUUAAAUGUUUUUAAAUAUUUUAGUAUCAUUAUAAUUGAAAAUGUCAAUAUCCCAAGCAAAAAGACGGUUAAAUUUACCUUGACUUUCUCACUUACGUAAUCGUCCAGCCAAAAUAGUCUCGGACCUGUUAAAAUAACAAAACAUCGCAUCAUUUUGUCGGCGAUGAGUCAUCUAGAAAUCUAUGUCAAGUUUCCGAGUUUAUUUUUAUUUUAUUACUUUAUUUUUUUUAUUUUCGCAAAUUACAUGACCAAAAAAUGUUAAAACCAUUACCAUAUUUAAUUCCUUAUACUUUUACUGCACCAGAUUUAAAUGAAGUAUUUAAAACUUAAA